UACAUCAUUUUCCAGGAAGUGAGCUUCUUUUAAAAGGGUUGUCCGGUGUGACUUCAGAACCAUCUUCAAGAGGAAAAUCCAGAGCUUCAACCUUGACAGCAGAAUAACUGAGACUCCCUCUCAUCAUUGUUAACCACAACAUGCAGCACUCAAGGACCUCAAGGUGGCGGAGGGGAUGUGAGAUGUUCUCCAUGACAGUUUGCGCAGUGUCCUCCUCCCCAGGCGCUCCACAGAAGUCCCUCCUGAUGAGCUUGUACAACAUGUUGGUGUCACUGGCUCUGAUGCUGCUGCCCCAGCAGACUGCAGCAAAGGAUACUGCACUGACUGGAACAUCUUGCUGCACACAUUAAAGGACCCAGACAGGCUCUGUGGUGCAUUUCCAGUCUAGUCUGUCCAAGUUUCUCCACAUCUACAAAUGGUGAAAGGUGAUGUUGAGGUGAAGGCUGCCGGUGAGAAACUCUCUGUUUCUGUCUUUCAUCUCAGACACAUGAAGACUUUUCCCCUCCCACCUCAUCUCUUCUUUGACAUGCUUGAUAUAGGCUGCUGGAUCACGUUCGGAGAGCCCAGUCAGUUUUAAUCACAGUCUGCUUGUAGUGCUUCCAGCGGCCGUCGCUGCAACUGUACAAAACCAAGAAAAAGUGGUGGUGAGAUGAAUACCAACCAGGAUUGAUGUUCACUGUUACAACCACUGACAACUAGUCCUAGAUCAGUAUGGAUAAAGUUACUGUAGGGAAGAUCAAAGCAAGGGGCGUAAAAAUAGGAUUUUCUUAAUAAACCAAAACUCUAAAUCUUUACUUCUUAGUUUUUAUGGAGUUAAUUUGGCAUCUUGUUUCUGAUAUCUCUUUUCCACCACCAGGUGGCAGUGUGUAACUAUUACUAAUAAAUAUUUGG